rnacentral:rRNA from 1 species
CCUGGCUCAAGAUGAACGCUAGCUACAGGCUUAACACAUGCAAGUCGAGGGGCAGCAUGGUCUUAGCUUGCUAAGGCCGAUGGCGACCGGCGCACGGGUGAGUAACACGUAUCCAACCUGCCGUCUACUCUUGGACAGCCUUCUGAAAGGAAGAUUAAUACAAGAUGGCAUCAUGAGUCCGCAUGUUCACAUGAUUAAAGGUAUUCCGGUAGACGAUGGGGAUGCGUUCCAUUAGAUAGUAGGCGGGGUAACGGCCCACCUAGUCUUCGAUGGAUAGGGGUUCUGAGAGGAAGGUCCCCCACAUUGGAACUGAGACACGGUCCAAACUCCUACGGGAGGCAGCAGUGAGGAAUAUUGGUCAAUGGGCGAGAGCCUGAACCAGCCAAGUAGCGUGAAGGAUGACUGCCCUAUGGGUUGUAAACUUCUUUUAUAAAGGAAUAAAGUCGGGUAUGGAUACCCGUUUGCAUGUACUUUAUGAAUAAGGAUCGGCUAACUCCGUGCCAGCAGCCGCGGUAAUACGGAGGAUCCGAGCGUUAUCCGGAUUUAUUGGGUUUAAAGGGAGCGUAGAUGGAUGUUUAAGUCAGUUGUGAAAGUUUGCGGCUCAACCGUAAAAUUGCAGUUGAUACUGGAUAUCUUGAGUGCAGUUGAGGCAGGCGGAAUUCGUGGUGUAGCGGUGAAAUGCUUAGAUAUCACGAAGAACUCCGAUUGCGAAGGCAGCCUGCUAAGCUGCAACUGACAUUGAGGCUCGAAAGUGUGGGUAUCAAACAGGAUUAGAUACCCUGGUAGUCCACACGGUAAACGAUGAAUACUCGCUGUUUGCGAUAUACAGCAAGCGGCCAAGCGAAAGCGUUAAGUAUUCCACCUGGGGAGUACGCCGGCAACGGUGAAACUCAAAGGAAUUGACGGGGGCCCGCACAAGCGGAGGAACAUGUGGUUUAAUUCGAUGAUACGCGAGGAACCUUACCCGGGCUUAAAUUGCAGAUGAAUUACGGUGAAAGCCGUAAGCCGCAAGGCAUCUGUGAAGGUGCUGCAUGGUAGUCGUCAGCUCGUGCCAUGAGGUGUCGGCUUAAGUGCCAUAACGAGCGCAACCCUUGUUGUCAGUUACUAACAGGUUCCGCUGAGGACUCUGACAAGACUGCCAUCGUAAGAUGUGAGGAAGGUGGGGAUGACGUCAAAUCAGCACGGCCCUUACGUCCGGGGCUACACACGUGUUACAAUGGGGGGUACAGAGGGCCGCUACCACGCGAGUGGAUGCCAAUCCCAAAAACCUCUCUCAGUUCGGACUGGAGUCUGCAACCCGACUCCACGAAGCUGGAUUCGCUAGUAAUCGCGCAUCAGCCACGGCGCGGUGAAUACGUUCACGGGCCUUGUACACACCGCCC